GUGGAUGGGCUAAAUAAAUUUUCUUUCUGACUUCCAAUAACGUUUUGUAAGGUUGAACCCAAGGGCUCGGUCUUUGUCACAAACACUGGGUGGUUUUUCCACCAAGCUCGCUGAGAAAGUGGAAUUCCAGAGACACUCCUGAAAUUGUCCUAAGUUAAAGGAGCCAGUGUGCCAGCUCCCUCUCUGC
rnacentral:lncRNA from 1 species